UAUGUGAGCCUUUUAGGUAAAUGUUGAAGCGACUAGAUUUUUUUAUUGGAAAAAAGACAUUUUAACGUGAAAUUAGCACCCAGUCUUUUUGCUAUUGCGUACUGUUGCAUGUAUGCUAACUGAUAAGCUGUGGCUCAAAAAAUGUGAAAAAUGUUCAUUGACAAAACUAGCAAAUUUGGACUUUUUCUAUAAUUGAUGUAUGGUUUACAGCAUCUCAAAUGUAAUAAAACGUUUGCUUGUUUAAAUCCAUUUUUGUAUUGUUUUCUUUUCAUAGGAAAUACAGAUAAAACUUUAUUUAAAAGUAUAUACGACAAUUACAAUAGCACAAUAUGACAGUUAUGACCAUUACUUCCACCUCAAACAGAAAUAUAGCCAUGCCUCACAUCAAUGCUUUCAUAUUUAUAUACACUUAAUGUGUUCAGAUUCUUACGAUUAAACGGAAAUGAGGGACAGGGCAAAGGUAUUGGGCUUUUCUUCCAGCCUGCCUUGACCCAACCUCUAAAGUCAGAAAAUGUCAACACUCACUGCUGCAAAUGGAACAUGGAGGUGUGUUCUUCCUCUUCAUCAUUAGCUCGGUGUCUGGACAAUGCGAUCACACCGAUGGACUAAAGACUAAACCAGUCUCAGCACAGACCCAUCGAGCUUCACGCAUGGGACCACUCCGGUGACUAACUGGGAGCUGCUGUCCUUCUCACACAUACUGAUCUGAUCCUGGUGGACCGGUGGAGGAUGAAAAAGAACAAAUGGCUCUUUGAAUACUCGUUGAAACUGACAGGCAAACGGGUGACGGCAUAGGGAAGGCCACCACGAGCAGUCAUGGGAUGUGGCGUCUCAAAAUCCGACCAGUUCCACAAAAGCUCCGGAAAAGGUGACCGUGAUCUUUGAAUAUCAGACUGAAACACCUGCUUAGAAACUUUCUCAUGUGUUUGUGUUGUUUUUAACGCAUCUGUAUCUCCUUCCUACUCCGCUCUGUCCGACGCAGCCGUCACAAGUAAGC